UGGUAGUCCACGCCGUAAACGAUGAGUGCUAGAUAUUGGAAGAUUUUCUUUCAGUUUCGUAGUUAACACAUUAAGCACUCCGCCUGGGGAGUACGGUCGCAAGAUUAAAACUCAAAGGAAUUGACGGGGGCUCGCACAAGCGGUGGAGCAUGCGGUUUAAUUCGAUGUUACGCGAAAAACCUUACCAAUCCUUGACAUGGUGAUUAUGGGAAACAGAGAUGUAUCCCUUCAGUUCGGCUGGGUCACACACAGGUGUUGCAUGGCUGUCGUCAGCUCGUGUCGUGAGAUGUUGGGUUAAGUCCCGCAACGAGCGCAACCCUUGUCAUUAGUUGCUACGAAAGGGCACUCUAAUGAGACUGCCGGUGACAAACCGGAGGAAGGUGGGGAUGACGUCAGGUCCUCAUGGCCCUUAUGGGUAGGGCUACACACGUCAUACAAUGGCCGGUACAGAGGGCUGCCAACCCGCGAGGGGGAGCCAAUCCCAGAAAACCGGUCGUAGUCCGGAUCGCAGUCUGCAACUCGACUGCGUGAAGUCGGAAUCGCUAGUAAUCGCGGAUCAGCUUGCCGCGGUGAAUACGUUCCCGGGUCUUGUACACACCGCCCGUCACACCAUGGGAGCGGGUUCUGCCAGAAGUAGUUAGCCUAACCGCAAGGAGGGCGAUUACCACGGCAGGGUUCGUGACUGGGGUGAAGUCGUAACAAGGUAGCCGUAGGGGAACCUGCGGCUG
rnacentral:rRNA from 1 species